UACAAAACCGAUAUUUCUUUACCUCCUAAACUACAAGAGAAACAGGGGAGGGACAAACGUAUAUAGGAAAUAGGAGAGGAAGAAGACAGGCUAAAUCCCCCUUACGUGAUUUUUCUUCCCCAGGAGCGAGACAGGGGCCGAGGGGAAGGCAGGCGAGGCCCUCGGAUCUUCAGAGACAACGGAAGGCUUCUCCUCUCCUCUCCAGCACCGCCUCCUCCACCAGCGCCGCCACCACGACCUCCACCACCACGGACGCCACCACAGGAAGAAAGAGUAUUCCUUGACACACCCCUGGGCCUUAAACCGCCGAGUGCGACUUUCAGAACCUCAGCCUCAUGGAAACACAGCUCAGAAAUGAACAACGGUUACUCUGACAGUUUGUUCAGCGAAAGAGCAAACCGGACGCAACGCCUGCCUGCUCGACCUACACCACAUGUCUGGCUAGUAUCCGUGGGGGAUGUAUUUUCGACAAGUAUGUGGGUGUGUGUGUACGGAUAUACUACAAGCAGAUGAAGAC